ACUGAACUAAUGAUGAGCUCUAUGCUGCAGUCCUGGAGCAGUCUGCUUGGGCAAGUGGAUUAACAGUCUGACCCCUGCAAUGCUCUGGUUUUUGGAUCGCUGAUUCUUUCUGGCUCCCAGUAAGAAGAGAAUUCACACCUGAAAAGGGGAGGCCCACCUCCAUGAGCAGUUACGGGUCUCAACUGAGUGGCCUAGAACUGCUGAUGGCCAAGAAUCUGCAGUUCCUAUGAAGAUAUUACCAGCACUUGGCAGAGACGGGAGUCCCUGAGUUGUAAAGAGAGCGAAGUGGGGAAAGAGAGAAAGCGACCAUAAUUCUGACUGUCACUUCACAUUACAAGGAAUAUCAUUCCAGCACGCACGCAUGUGCACACACACACACACACACACACACACAAACACAGAGAGAGCGUUUCAACACUUCUAAUCCCACCAGCUUUGAAAAACUGAUCCACUGAUACAGCUGGGUGUCACCACAACCAGGACCACCAAGUCUGUCUGGAACAGGGAUGUGGUCCAGUCAUCACUGCUAA